rnacentral:rRNA from 1 species
AACGAACGCUGGCGGCAGGCUUAACACAUGCAAGUCGAACGCCCCGCAAGGGGAGUGGCAGACGGGUGAGUAACGCGUGGGAAUCUACCGUGCCCUACGGAACGACAGUUGGAAACGACUGCUAAUACCGUAUACGCCCUACGGGGGAAAGAUUUAUCGGGGUAUGAUGAGCCCGCGUUGGAUUAGCUAGUUGGUGGGGUAAAGGCCUACCAAGGCGACGAUCCAUAGCUGGUCUGAGAGGAUGAUCAGCCACAUUGGGACUGAGACACGGCCCAAACUCCUACGGGAGGCAGCAGUGGGGAAUAUUGGACAAUGGGCGCAAGCCUGAUCCAGCCAUGCCGCGUGAGUGAUGAAGGUCUUAGGAUUGUAAAGCUCUUUCACCGACGAAGAUAAUGACGGUAGUCGGAGAAGAAGCCCCGGCUAACUUCGUGCCAGCCGCCGCCGUAAAAC